rnacentral:rRNA from 1 species
GACGUAGGGCGCGAGCGUUGUCCGGAUUUAUUGGGCGUAAAAGAGCUCGUAGGCGGCUUGUCGCGUCGAAUGUGAAAACCCACAGCUCAACUGUGGGCUUGCAUUCGAUACGGGCAGGGCUCGAGUUCGGUAGGGGAGGACUGGAAUUCCUGGUGUAGCGGUGAAAUGCGUAGAUAUCAGGAGGAACACCUGUGGCGAAAAGCGGC